CAUUGAAUCUGUAGAUAUACUAAUGUUAUAGCACUUAGCCCAUUGAAUAACAGUUGUUUGAUCUUGCCUAAGGAAUGGCGUUUUCAAUCAGUGUCUGUUGCUUAAAGUAUAUGAUCAAUAAUGAUUUAUUUAAUUAUUGAAUGAAUAAUAAAUUCUUUGUCAGAUAUUUCUGCUAUUUAGUUUAUGAGAGAACUGUCGUUUUUAUCUUAUGUAUUUUGUGGAAAUGGAAAAUAGAAAUUUAAGAGAAUAAUAAUAGACAUACUCAUAUCCAAAAAAGUGUUCAGUGGGAUUUUCUUUUUUUUAGACAGUGUGAGGUGUGGACUUCUUUCUUUUUUUCAGUGUUAUGAUAUCUACAGGGUUUAACGUAGAAUAUAGGCUUACCAAAGAAAAUUCUUUCAAGUCUAUAUAAAAAUUUACUUAGGUUUUCAGAAGCCCACCAUGAACUGAAAUUCUACUCAGACAUUAUAUAUGGGUAGUUUCAUGACUUUUCCCUUUAUGCUAUUUAAAAGUGUUUUAUAAAAUGGUUCUUUACUUUUGUUUCUUGAUUUAGCACUGACUUUGAUUUCUCAAUGAGUCCUCUGUGGUCUGAUAUGUCUUAAGCUGAAUGGGGCUUGUGGUUCCAUGGAAAUCUUGAGUCGUCUUCCUCACAUUUGGCAUUGAAAUGGCAGUAGUUAGUAAAGAUGGGGCAUCUGUGUCUUGUGAAAAACAUGGAGGAAAGUGUAUUUGAGACCUGUCUUUGCUGUUUAUUAAUUGUAUUAUUCAAGAAAUCAGAGCUCAAACUGGAAGUUGCAGAAUGUGGGGCAUAAGUCCAUUUUGAAUUAAUGUCAAGAAGACACAGUAUUUUUCUUCCAUGUUUUCCUUGUAUACUUAUUAAAAUAAAACGGAAGUAAGUUCAUUGGUGAGGCA
rnacentral:lncRNA from 1 species